GAGUUGUGAAACUUUCUAUUUCGUAAGGAGUUAUGAACGUGAAAUAAUGACACAGACUGGCUAUACCAUCUCAUCUGCCGCAGAUACUGUAUCAGGAGGACAGCGCGUUUGUUUGAGGCACUUUUCACUUCAACUGUGUCUGACCGGAGAAUUAGCUUUUCUGAGCCUAUUAGCCGUUGAGAGUUACCAUGGCAACCGCGGACACAUCAGCUGCUGGAGAGGAGAGGACGCGUCUGACACUUUCUCUGUUUCUCGUCAGUUAUACCAAAGAAAAGUUCAACAACUGCGACAGAUUGCUUAAUUUGUUUAUUUCUAAUAAGGAGCUGGAGGCCGUGGAGAAGCAGAUCCGUGACCUCGUGGAGAAGCAGGCUCAGCUGAGAGAGCGGAGAGCCGUGAUGGAAACAUUCAGGGGUUGAUGCUCAUAAGUCCAGUGUAAGUAUACAGCACGCUGCUAACUCUCCCACCCCCUCUACUCUGUGUGGUUCUUUGCACAGGCCCGGUGUACCCAGAACGCAAUCUUUCCAGAUGUCCUUCACCCUGUGCCACAGCGGAAGACAUGAGCCAGGUCCUGGGGGACAACCUCUCUCCCCCCGUCGCCUCCGGUCUUCGGGAACUCCACUGGAAUCCGAUUUCCUCCACUUCACGAGACAGAACACGACUCUGUGUUCGUCGGAGACUCCAUCAUCCGGCAUAUUCGUGCUAUGUUAGCUGGAGGUAAUGUGCACACUCACUGUUUUCCCUG